rnacentral:rRNA from 1 species
AGCGAACGCUGGCGGCAGGCUUAACACAUGCAAGUCGAACGCAUCCUUCGGGGUGAGUGGCAGACGGGUGAGUAACGCGUGGGAACAUGCCCUUUGGUUCGGAAUAACUCAGGGAAACUUGAGCUAAUACCGGAUAAGCCCUUUUGGGGAAAGACUUAUCGCCGAAGGAUUGGCCCGCGUCCGAUUAGCUAGUUGGUGAGGUAAUGGCUCACCAAGGCGACGAUCGGUAACUGGUCUGAGAGGAUGAUCAGCCACACUGGGACUGAGACACGGCCCAGACUCCUACGGGAGGCAGCAGUGGGGAAUAUUGGACAAUGGGGGCAACCCUGAUCCAGCCAUGCCGCGUGAGUGAUGAAGGCCCUAGGGUUGUAAAGCUCUUUCGGCGGGGACGAUAAUGACGGUACCCGCAGAAGAAGCCCCGGCUAACUUCGUGCCAGCCGCCGCCGUAA